AUACUGUCUCCUUUUUCUAAUCAGUGAAACUAUUUUCCCCGUGAAGAAACGAGGAUAUUUUUAUAAGACGAGAAGACCCUAUGGAGCUUUAAAUUUUAUUUCAUUUGCUCUCCUUAUCCCCAGCCCCAGCCUCUUAAUUUUAACUGAGCAUACUGAUAAUGAAUUUUAGGUUGGGGUGACCGCGGAGCAUAAAAAAACCUCCGCAUAGAAUGGGCCUAAGCCUUGAACAAAGAGCUUCAACUCCAAGUACUAACACAUUAACAUCCAUUGACCCAAUAUUUUUGAUCAACGAACCAAGUUACCCUAGGGAUAACAGCGCAAUCUACUUUGAGAGCUCCUAUCGACAAGUAGGUUUACGACCUCGAUGUUGGAUCAGGGGUAUCCCAGUGGGUGCAGCCGCUACUAAAGGUUCGUUUGGUUCAACGAUUAAAACCCUACGUGAUCUGAGUUCAGACCGG
rnacentral:rRNA from 1 species